rnacentral:rRNA from 1 species
UACGUAGGUGGCAAGCGUUGUCCGGAAUUAUUGGGCGUAAAGCGCGCGCAGGCGGUCCUUUAAGUCUGAUGUGAAAGCCCACGGCUCAACCGUGGAGGGUCAUUGGAAACUGGGGGACUUGAGUGCAGGAGAGAAGAGUGGAAUUCCACGUGUAGCGGUGAAAUGCGUAGAGAUGUGGAGGAACACCAGUGGCGAAGGCGGCUCUCUGGGACGGUACUGACGCUGAGACGCGAAAGCGUGGGGAGCGAACAGG